rnacentral:rRNA from 1 species
AGCGGCAGGCUUAACACAUGCAAGUCGAGGGGCAGCACGGGUAGCAAUACCUGGUUGGCGACCGGCGCAAGGGUGCGUAACGCGUGAGCAACAUGCCCUAUACAGGGGGAUAAUCCAGGGAAACUUGGUCUAAUAUCCCAUAGUAUUUAGAGGAGGCAUCUUCUAUAAAUUAAAGCUUCGGUGGUAUAGGAUUGGCUCGCGUGACAUUAGCUAGAUGGUGAGGUAACGGCUCACCAUGGCAAUGAUGUCUAGGGGUUCUGAGAGGAAGGCCCCCACACUGGGACUGAGACACGGCCCAGACUCCUACGGGAGGCAGCAGUGAGGAAUAUUGGACAAUGGAUGGAAAUCUGAUCCAGCCAUGCCGCGUGCAGGAAGACAGCCCUAUGGGUUGUAAACUGCUUUUAUAUGGGAGCAAUAAGGUCUACGUGUAGACUGAUGAGAGUACCAUAUGAAUAAGCAUCGGCUAACUCCGUG